AGCGGACUUCUCCCGAUAAUUUCUUCACCACGAUCGCAGCAUUGUCCAAGGAGCGGAUAACUCAUCUCUGCGAAGAGAUAACCAAUCUCCCUUUUCACCCGCGACAAUAUUAAUUAUUUAAUUACUUCGCUUCGCCCACAUUUAUCUAGAAUGCCCAAGUUAUCUGAGUAAGUGAAAGCCAACAAAAAAAUAAACGCAGCCAACAGUCAGAACGGCGGUUUCUGCUGAAAAGAGGAAAAGACAAUCUAUUGAUAGUUAAUACGAAGUGAGAAAGCAUGCUGACAAUCUCCCUGAUGACUAGGAAUUUGUUCUUGUCAAAGAUUUACCAAUCGAAAUCAGCUGAUGGACAAAUUUUGAACCAAAAAGAUCCACCAUUCCUCCUUCUUGGCACUGGAUUGAAUCCAACAAUGACGAAAAGGUUCCUCUUUGUGUGCAGUUCCACCUCAGUGGGGGAAAACGUUAAGUCGAAGUCGGUGCACAUAUACGAUGGAUCAGUUUUUCUGUGCAUUGAUGGGCAAGUUUGUUGUCAGAGUAAGCUGAAUCCAAUAGAUCAAGAUCGGAUGCUGAGUUGCCAAGUCUGCAUUCCGACCUGGGGUAUUUUUCCUCUCGGGCCUUAUAGAAAGGAAA